CGGGAAUAUUGCGCAAUGGAGGAAACUCUGACGCAGUGACGCCGCGUAUAGGAAGAAGGUUUUCGGAUUGUAAACUAUUGUCGUUAGGGAAGAUAAAAGACAGUACCUAAGGAGGAAGCUCCGGCUAACUACGUGCCAGCAGCCGCGGUAAUACGUAGGGAGCAAGCGUUAUCCGGAUUUAUUGGGUGUAAAGGGUGCGUAGACGGGAAAUUAAGUUAGUUGUGAAAGCCCUCGGCUUAACUGAGGAAUUGCAACUAAAACUGGUUUUCUUGAGUGCAGGAGAGGUAAGUGGAAUUCCUAGUGUAGCGGUGAAAUGCGUAGAUAUUAGGAGGAACACCAGUGGCGAAGGCGACUUACUGGACUGCAACUGACGUUGAGGCACGAAAGUGUGGGGAGCAAAC
rnacentral:rRNA from 1 species